rnacentral:rRNA from 1 species
UACGUAGGGUGCGAGCGUUGUCCGGCAUUAUUGGGCGUAAAGAGCUCGUAGGCGGUUUGUCGCGUCGGCCGUGAAAUCUCCACGCUUAACGUGGAGCGUGCGGUCGAUACGGGCAGACUUGAGUUCGGUAGGGGAGACUGGAAUUCCUGGUGUAGCGGUGAAAUGCGCAGAUAUCAGGAGGAACACCGGUGGCGAAGGCGGGUCUCUGGGCCGAUACUGACGCUGAGGAGCGAAAGCGUGGGGAGCGAACAGG